rnacentral:lncRNA from 1 species
CAAACCACUCCCUCUGGCAAAAUGCCAGGCGCCAUCUUGACUUGUUUACAGACUCUAACACUUUUUUGUUCCUGAUUCUCCCUUUGCAACUAAACAACCAACGACAAGAAGGAAGAAGGCAACCAGUGAAACCCUCCCAUCAUAAAGACCCCCUUCAUGGCGCAUUCUCAGCAGGAAACAGCUUGGAGAUUUCAUGGCCCACUUUUCCAUAGAAAAAGGUAGAAAUCGACGGGGGGGAAUAUAACCAUGGUCCCCUUCACCUUCUCAUGGUAGCCCUCAUUGCUCUGAGGCUUAGUUUUUAAAAGAAUGUGUUUUUUCUCUGUUCUCCCCUGUCCCCUCCCUAGCAAGUUUAGGGACACAGUGUUAAUGUUCUCCCCUAGUUAAUUUCCCUCAACACACCCACUACAGGAAGGAGCUGCCUGCUGAGGAUCUGGGAAGUGAGUAUCUCCCCAAUCAAUAAGUGAAUCCUAACACACCAUCCGGCAUUCUGGGACCCCCUACCAGAGCCCACCUGGAAUGUUACCCUUGAAGAGUUCCUCUAACCCCCCCAUGUCCCUCCUGAUGGCGAGAAUCACAGCCUCUGGGACAGGAGUCCCCUGUGUUUCUCCUUUGCUAGCAAAGCAAGAAACCUUCUUUUUUUCCUUUUUCUCAAAAUCCUGUCCUUGUUUUUGGAUUGGCAUCGGGGACAAAGACCAAGCUUUCAGUUACAUCACUACAAAAAUCAUUAUUAGAAAGCGAUAAACUGGGCAGGUGGUGCACACCUGUAAUCCCACAGGCUCCGGCGGCUGAGGCAGGAGAAGGGCAAAUUCAAAGCCAGCCUCAGCAGCUUCGCAAGGCUCUAAGCAACUAAGUGAGACCCUGUUUCAAAAUUUAAAAAAGGGGAGGGGGAGCUACGGAUGCAGCUCAGUGGUUAAGCACCCGGUUUAAUCCCCAGGACGAGAGGAAGGAAGGAAGGAAGGGAGGGAGGGAGGGAGGGAGGGAGGGACGGAGGGAGGGAGGGAAGGAAGGAGAAGAAGAGAAAUACAAACUAAAGCGAAGCAAGCGAGGAGAUUCCCCGGAGGAUGCAGCCCCCGUAGGCCCACAAAGACCAGCUGUAGACCCGAGCCCCCACCCCCACCCCGCGCAGGCAGUGCCUGAGCUCAGGUCCCCGCUGCCAGUUCCCACAAGCCCCGCUUUCCCAGAAGGAGCCAGCAGGCCUCUGGGCCCUGGGCCAUCUGGGCACCUGCGGUGUCUGCCCCUGCACGCCUGCCCACCGCUGGCCAGCACACCUGGGAGUGCCUGGGGCCUUCCCAGGCCUGGAAGGAGCAGAUAAGGUGUGACAGUGCCUGGCUGUUCUUAGGGAGAGGGGUUUUCCGAUGAGAACGGCCCUCCCCCUUCUCUCCCAUCCCCUCUGCACCAGCCUGGAGCCUGGAGGGGUGUCCCCGCCACACACACACUGCACAGCGGGCUACGGCUGAGAACCAGGGAGGAAGAGGCUAGCCAAGGCCAGGGGCCAAGGUGGGAAAUCUCUUUGACUCCUCCCCAGGCUGCCAUGGCCCCGAGUUCAAUCCCAGCUCCACUGUUCCCACACAGUGUGCCCAUCACCACCCUCACCACCCCCACUUUUAAUUGAGGUGUGAUUCACAUACCUAACAUUCACCUUUUCAAGUAUAGUUUAAAUAUAUUCACUUAACUUCCUGAUUUGAGGACAUUGUCAUCACUCGGGAAAGACGCUCUAUACCCAGUGUCCGUCACGUCCUGCCUGCUGCCCGCCCCCAGCCCUGGGCAGCCCCUGCCUUUCCUAGGCUUGCCCAUUCUGGAGAUUUCAUACAAAUUAAAUCAAAUAAUAUGUGGCCUUUCGUGGGUUGGUUUUGUUGUUUGUUUUGUUUUGUUUUUGAGGUACUAUUACCGAAAACCUUGUCCUUGUCCCCAGUGCCAAUCCAAUCACAAGCCCAUGGUUUUGAGAAAAAGGAAACAAGAAGAUUUAUUGCUUUGCUAGCAAAGGAGAAACACAGGGGACUCCUGACCCAAAGACUGUGACUCUGCCCUUCAGCAGGAACAGAGGGCUUUUAAAGAUUCAAAGACUAUGUUCCACCCAUCCUCCGCUGGAGUUGUGAUUCUAUUGUUAAUUAAUCAGAGAGAGUCAUUUCUGAGGUCUUCGUGCCAUCCCCAAAAGUCUGGAUCACUUUGUUCCUGUGGUGGGUGUGUGCUCAAGGACAGAGAAAUCUGCCCAGGAGGGGAAAAAGGUGAUCCUGUUUCCUCUGAGAUCAGGGAUGGGGAGAGACAGGGGAAGAGAAAGAACCACGUUGUGAGGAUGGCCUUGGACCUGUGCCUAGCAACUCCAUUUUAAAACUCCAGUUUGAAACCUGCAGUCUCACCAGGCUCACCUAAGGGAACCCUCCAGUGUGGCCCUCAGGCCCAAACAAGUCCCUUCUCCCCACCCUCAUAAACCCAGAGUGAAGCCUCUGGCAGGCUGUCCUCCCCCCAGAUAAGGGGGAGAGGUGGGAAGAUCAGGGUGGGGCCACCAGGCCAGAUGUUUUAACUCCAGGGUAAAUGAGGACACUGAGAGACCUGGUGGCAGCUGAUAAGGACUGAAAGGGGGGGUCAAAAGCCCCCAAAUUUGGUAUAAAUAGUGGAGCCAAUGAACAGACACUCAGCCAGCCGACACUGGUGCCCUCAUGCUGAGAGCCUGGUGAGGACCUGUGCUGACAUCCCAGCUCUUCUCAUCGUUUGCUGAUCCUCUGCGUCUUCCUCACGGGUCUCAAACUUUCCAGCCACAUCUUGACCCUGGUGACAGCCGCAACUUCCCCCUAGGACCCUCUCCUCAGCCAGCCAUCAGCUCCACCCCGGGAGAAGCCUGCCUUGGUUCCUGACCUGAUCACGGGGUCUGAGUGAGUGUGCAUCUGCUGGACUAGAGCCUAAGGCUUGAGACUUUAGAUCUGACACUUGAGCUUAGCGGGCAGAGGAAAUGUCUGUCAAGAGUCUGUCAUGAUUAAGAGUGUUUGCAGGGCUUAGAAUUCAUCUAGAAUUGUUUGCUGUGGAUUGAUUAAUCUAGAAUUGUUUGCUGUGGAUUGAUUAUGUCUACUGCAGUGCCUAGCAUUAAGGAUGGUCGUUUCCUUGAUUAAGAACCUAGAGACUGAAAUUGUAUUGAGUGAUUUGAGUGAAUAAAGCAUUGGAAGGGGCAGAAGCACGUGGACAUUCUUUAUUUCUUCCCCUCGACUGCAAAAGUCACACCUCUUGCCAACGUGACCCAUGUCCAUUUUAAAAAUAAGUUCCGUGGUAGAGCAGCAAGGCUGUAUUCAGAGCAUAAAUUGGGCACUGUCUCAGUACUGGGGGUUGAACACGGGGAACACACACACUGAACUCCAUCCCCAGCCUUUUUUAAUUUUUGUUCUGAGAUAGGGUCUCACUAAGUUACUGAGGUUGGCCUCAAACUUGCUGUCCUCCUGCCUCAGCCUCCUGAGUUGCUGGAGUGCAGACGUGCACCACUGCACCUAGAAAGACGUGGCCCUUUGUAGUGGCUUUUUUUCAGUCAACAUAGUGUGCUCCAGUUUAUCCAGGAGGUGGGGUCUAUUAGAACCCCAUUCCUUUUAUGGCUGAAGAGUAACCCAUCGUCUGUACCACACUUGUUUAUCCAUUUGACAAUUGUGGAAGUUGGGUGGCUUCUAUUUUGGGGAUACAUGCUUAAUUCUGUUAUGAACAUUCGUGUCGUUUUUGAGUGGAUGUGUAUUUUCAAAUCUCUCAAGAAUACCCCUAAAAGUGGAAUUGGGCCAUUUGAUGAUUUUGUUUUGCCCCCUUCGGGAACUGCCAAAUGUUUUCUACAGCAACGGUACAAUCUUAUGUUUCCGCCAGGUGUAUUUCCUAACCCCUCUGGACCUAAGCUUCCCGUUGGUGAAGCCUCAUGUAUCGGGUAUCUACCGUAUAGACGGGCCACAAGAUUUAAAUGAGAUCCUAUCAGAAAGGCAGCUAGGGCAGUAGGAGCUCAAUAAAUCAAGUCAGGAUCUGUAACCCUCUGGGCUUGUUCCUUUGGUCUCCUUCCAAUCCAAAUGGGCAGUGCUCUUUAUCCUUCCCUCUUGUUUACCUAGUUCUUGAAUCUCCCUUGAUGGAUUGGAUUAAGCUCACCACAUGUCUCUGGAGAGGGUCUGAGGAGUUCCCAGAGGAAAGGGGAGGUCUCAGAACCAGCAGGGCUCUUGGCAUACAUGAAAAGAAUCUCCGCAGGAGCCAGACAAAGGCCCAGACAGGUUUAUUUAAGGAGUAGAUACAUUCCAGGGAGAAAGCCGGCUGACAGGGGCUGGGGCUCCGAUAUUUAUAGAAGGGCAGGAUCAGGGGCCGGACUGGAGGUGGAUCCAGGGAGGGGCUGCACGAUUUCAUGCCAGUUUUCCUUGUGCAUGUGUUUCCCUCCUGUUACAAGGGCCUGGGUCAAGGGCAUGGGCCAAGGGUGAGGGUCAAGGGCCAAGGUCAAGGUUGACAACUGUGCUUUCUGCAUCCCAAUGGCUGUGGUGUUUCCUUUAAGAGUCAGUAUUUCCCUCUCUUUAUCCUGAAUCCCUGUCUCAGAACACAAUGCCUGCUGCCUAGGCCCAGGUGCACCCACGUGCACACAUACACACACAAUUUAAUAGGGGCCAAACUAAACAGGUGAAAUUCCCCUCACCCCCCAUCCUGCUUGGUACAUUAGAGCUAAAAUCAAAUACUACAGUGAUUCUCCAAGUGUGGAACCCAGACUGGCAGCACCAUCACUGCUAGAAUCACCCAGGAACUGGUUAAAAUAAACCCUCAGUCCCUGUCCCAGAAAAAAAAAAAUUGGAAUCAAGGACUCUGGUAAUGAGCUCCGGCAAAUGCGGGUUUCAACACGCCCUACAGGUGCUUGGAAUGCAAACUAAAGUUCCAAAUUACAGAUGAGAAAACUGAGGCCCAGAGAAAGGAUAUAACUUGCUCAAGGCCAUAAAGAACAAGAGCCAGGGAACUGUGCACAACUGUGUGACCUUGGACAAGGCCCUCCCCUUCCUUUACUUCACUAUCCCCAUCUGUAAAAUGGGGACGGCCGCCUCCGCCUGCCACCACAGCUUUCCCCAUCUGCCCCCACAGCUCUCGAGGCAGCUGAGGGCUGGAGCCUGAGUUUCCUGCUUCCCACUCUGGUUCUCUUACUUCUGGAAGUUGACUCUCUGCACCAUCUAUGAGAAGGUUCUGGAAACUGUCAACAUCCGAAAGGUGGACAGGGAGAGGAGGGUUUUGUUUGAUUCUGAGACCCCCGAAGGAAGAACUCCAUGAGCAGGGGAAGUUUCAGAGGUAGGUCUAUGUAAGGAUGCCAUUCCCAAGAAGAACUGCUCCAAGAGCAUCAGCAGCCCCGAGAUGCAGAGCCAUCUGUCCACGGGGAGAGUCCUGGCAGCAUCGGAGCCUGUCUUUCCCAGGGGGAGAGGAGAGACUGGGAGGAAGCUGGUGUGAUCUCCUGGAGAUCUGCUCCCCUGCCACUCCUCAGGGAGGUGAGAGCUGUUUGUCUUCACAGCUUCUCUGUCCCCUGAGAAGGGCAAGGGCAACCGCCCAUACCUCAGACCACACUAUUGGCUCAGGCAAUAGAAUGUGACCCAAGCCAGGCCAAUCAGAAUAUUUCUCCGCCAGAGCAUCUCACAGCCACAUCCACCCUUGAACUUCCCAAUCUGGUGAGCACCUGGGUUCCUCUUUGCUGAAGACUGUUCGGGGUUUCUCUCUUUGCAACUGACAAAUUCUUACCAACCCCACAUGAAAAUAGGCCUGUCUCCUUCCAGCAUGCCCUUCAAAUAAGAGCAAGAAAAGCAAGAGUCAAAACAAUAGCUUAAAGCCUUAUAAAAUAUAUACUCUCUUGGGGGAAAAGUGCCCAAAGGAUAUUCAGUUUCAACUCAGAGCCUAAUGUUUUGAAAUCCAGUUCCUCCGAGUCUUUUCAAACAUUCAUACUCUCCAGGGCAACUAAACCCUAAACUUGCUCCUUUCUUCUCCAAAAGCCCUAAAAUCUCUUUACAAACCUACUCCCAGUUAGCUGUUACCUUUUCCUCCUCUCCUGCCUGUUCCAAAGUCUGUCACCCUAACAUUGCUGGAUACUUUGUGGCCCAGCCAUAAUUCACACUCUUGUUUUUUUUUUUUUAAUAUUAUUUUAGUUGUAGAGGGACACACCAUAUCUUUGUUUAUUAAUUUAUUUUUUUAUGUGGUAUUGAGGAUCGAACCAGUGCCUCACACAUGCUAGGCAAGCACUCAGCCACUGAGCUAAGUCCCCAGCCCCCAUAAUCCACACUCUUAGCCCUACUUUUUUUUGCUUUUGGGUAUCGAGGAUUGAACUCAGGGGCACUCAACCACUGAGCCACAACCCCAGCCCUAUUUUGUAUUUUAUUUAGAGACAGGGUCUCACUGAGUUGCUUAGCGCCUCGCCAUUGUUGAGGCUGACUUUGAACUCGAAAUCCUCCUGCCUCAGCCUCCCCAGCCCCAGGGAUUACAGGCAGGCGCCACUGCACUUGGAUUUUUUUUGUUCGUUUGGAUUAGUUUAGUUUUGUGGUGCCAAUGAUGAAACCCGGGACCUUGCUGUGAAGACUCUACCACUGAGCUACCCCCAACCAUUGCAUGAUCCUCUCAUUCUCUCUGGAGGCAGGAGAGAGAGCUACUGAAUCCUUACACGGUAAUAUGGUUCUAUUACAGAAAUCAGACAAGAAUCAGCAAACGGCACUUGAGAGUGAGAGAACUCAAACCCCAUUUUAGCAGGUGGGCUCAGAAGAGCUCAGACUCCAAAUUCUGAGUGCUUGUCACCAGUUUCUCACAAAAUUUAUAGGCUAGCUGGUGCCAUAAAAUUUUCCAGUCUACAGGAUAUGUGGUCAUGCAGGGGGUCUCUGGCGGGAAGCAUGUUAACAGAAGUAGAGUGGGAUAAGGAGAAGAACUGGCCUUUGAUAAAUCUCUAGUCUUGGGCCAGAAGCCUCUGCAGGGGUGUUUACACUCCAAAGAAGAGCAGUUAGUUCCCUAGGGGUAGUUACUUACAAUCCAAAAGCCAGGGUGGGUGAUACGAAUCAGGUUUCCUGAAGAAAGGCUGACUGGCAAGGAGAGGGGACUCUCGCUUUCCCAGGCACUAAUUCUCAGGAUUGUGUUCUUACAAUUUAUUGUACACCCAGGCCUGGUUCUCUCGUCCAUUAGAGUUCUAUUUCUCCAAUGACACUCCCCCCCCCCCCAAUAGGAUUCUCCUCCUGAUGGUAGCCCUCAUUGCUCUAAGGCUUAUUUUCUUUUUCCCCCUCUGGUCUCCCCUCUCCCCUCCCUAGCAAGUGUAGGGACACAGUGUUAAUGUUCUCCCCUAGUUAAUUGCCCUCAACACACCCACUAAAGGAAGGAGCUGCCUGCUGAGGAUUGGAAGUGAGUAUCUCCCUUAGAAUCCUAACACACCAUCGGGGUGCCCUGGGGCCCCCUACCAGAGCCCACCUGGAAUGUAACCCUUGAAGAGUUCCUCUAAAGCCCCCAUGUCCCUCCUGAUGGGGAGAGUCACACCUUUGGGACAGGAGUCCCCUGUGUUUCUUCUUUGCUAGCAAAGCAAUAAACCUUCUUUUCCCUUUUUCUCAAAACCCUGUCUUCAUUAUUAAAUUGGCAUUCAAUGGCAUUGGGGACAGGGACCGAGCUUUUGGUUACAAAUUUGCUGAGGAUGGAAGGGAACUUUCUGAGACUGACUGCUGGAAAGUCGGGCGACAGGCGAGCGUGUCUCAUGUCUCGGGUCGAACCAGAGGAGCUAUUCCUGUGAGAGUCAAGGGAGGGACGGAGGGACUCCCCGCAGCUGCUGAAGCCCUCCCACCUUCCUUCCCUGCACUGUAAGGGUCGCUCCAUCUUGGUCUAUUUUGAAAAAAGGGAACCUGAAUGCAGAAUUUAGCCAUUUGGUAAGCUCCCCCAGGGUGAUUGAUUCUACUUUUCUGGUUCCCUAGUGGGAACGUCUGGUCCCCUUAUGGGGACAUCUGUGGUGCCACUGGUAUGCAAGUCACAGUUAAUUGGGAGUUGGGAACUUGGGGGAUUUCCCCCCUAUCUGGUCUGUUUUAAAGGUUCCCCUCUGUUUGGGAUCCUCUCUAGUUUCUGUCUCUAUGCUUUUUGUUUGUGUCUGUUUCUGGCCCUUUAAGACAUGGGCAAGACUGUGUUGAUGGGUCCCAUAGAUUGUUUCUUGGGAAAGAACUUGGCUGAAUGGGCCACCUACAGAUGUAAGUGUGUCUAAGAAAAAAAUGAUAUUUUACUGCAGCAAUGUGGUCUUUGAAUGGUUUUCUGAAUUAUUACACAAUCUUGCAGUUGGGAGUUGGUCUGUCAGAGAUAAAAUAAGUGGAAGAUUCUGUAUGUACAGGCAUGUAUGCCACUACAUAAUAAGGAGUCGAACAGUCAAAAACUAAGUUGGAUGCAAAAAGUUCCUCCCUCUAAUGUGUGAGCAUAGCAGGAUACCCAAGAAAGAUUGAAAAAAAAUCUUUUUUUUUUUCCUUUGAACCCAGUGCUUCUCAGCCUGGCCCCAGGCAGCUGCAAAUCAACCUGCUGAGGGUCAGGAAAAAACUCAGGAAAGCUGCCUGGUCUCUAGAGAAAUGGGCCAAGAGGACCUGGCCUCUACUCUGCUUCCCAGCCACUCUUUGCCCAUAAGGAUAGAACAGGGCUCAGUUUGCCACUUCUGCAGACAAAGGAAAUCCAUGUGCACUGAGGCCUCACUGAUUUUCUUUCUGGGCUCUUAUCUCAUGGGUUCAAAGAAUGAAAUCCACGGAUGAUGGCAAAGACAAAAAAAAUAAAAAAAAAUAAAUUAGCUUUGAAAGAGAGGAAAAAAAGAUAAAACUUCCUGUGAUAUUAGGGGGAAACUGGUAGAAACUUUUCCACUUAAGUAUACUAGUGUGGGGACUCAAAGGAUAAAGCACUGAUAGGGACUCAAAGGAUAAAGCACUGGGCAGACACCAAAAGCAUUGGAACUAACUGUUGGAAUCUGGGCCUCUGCGUUGCCCUGAGUAUUCUCAGGGGUGCUGGACAUGUUUUAUGUUCUCUACUCUCUCACAUUUCUAUUAAGAUAUAAUAAAGUAACUGAAGUUCCCGAAGGAGUGUACAUUUUGUGACUUUUAAGUGGAGAAAGCAGGGUGGUGGCCUUGUUUUGUGUAACUCCAAGUCCGUAUUAUUUCCAUUGUUUUUACUGUUUCUGAAACAGGAGGAAAUUGCCUGCCGCGACUGGACACCUGCCUCCAGGAACCCAGAGACUCUGCCAGGUGCUCUUGGUUAAUGCCUUUGAGACUGACUAAGAAUUGCUCACUGAUACAAGGUAGGGUAACAAGGGAAGUAAGCCAUCUGAAGCUGUCAUUGAAGACAUUUUUUUUUCCCUGCUCAUUUCCAAAUCCCAUGUGCCACCUCAAAUCUGCUUUUUUUUUUUUAAUGCAAUGUUACUGAAUUUAACUGAAUUUCUGCCAAAGUCCCAUUUCACCCAUAGCUUACGUCCAGAUUUCUCUACAACAUCACACGGUCCUAUUUAUUCUAAACAAAGAUGUCUGGAAUAGUUCCAGUGAUGUCUUUCCUGUUUUUCUGUUUGUGUAUGCCACUUUGAUAGAUUUAAGCUUGCCAUCCAUGUUUCUACAAACCUAUCAUCUAUUAACUACUUUUAGAUUCUAGAGAAUCCACCUUUUCAUAGGAUACAUGUUAAAAAAACAAAAAAGGUAAGAUUAAAAACAGGAGGAGGUAGAAGAAGAGGAAGAGAAUUACAAUAAGCAGAUAUACAACCAAGUUCUUGGAAGAAUUAUUGCUGAAAACAUAAUUAUUAUGCAUUAACAGCAAACAGCUAGCACGAGUCAAAGGAAGCUGUAUUCUCUAAGUACUUCAGACAAUGUGGUAUUCAUUUAUCAAUUCUUUUUUUUUUAAUAUUUAUUUUUUAGUCAUAGGUGAACACAAUGUCUUUAUUUUACUUUAUGUGGUGCUGAGGAUCGAACCCAGUGCCUCAUGCAUGCUAGGUGAGCGCUCUCCUCUGAGCCACAACCGCAGCCCUUAUUUAUAAAUUCUUGAUAGCUCUUUGGAUAAAGCAUGUAAAAUAAUUGUACAGCAGUCCAUUAUCUGACUGAAUAAUCCUUUUUAAAUUAUUUUUUUAGUUGUAGAUGACACAAUACCUUUAUUUAUUUAUUUAUUUAUUUAUUUAUUUAUUUUUAUGUGGUGCAAGGGAUCAAAUCCAGUGCCUCGCGCAUGCUGGACAAGUGCUCUACCACUGAGCCACCACCUCAGUCCCCAACUGAAUAUUGUUUAAUUGUAGUUAUAAUAUGUUUGAAAUAAUUUUUCCAAACCCUCAACAUAUUUCCAUUCAAAUAUAUGAUCCACAUUUAAUGUAGCAUUAAAAAGAUUAAAAUGGGUAUAAAAAAAGUGAAUGAGGCCUUUUAGUCCAAAAGGACCCUGAGAAAAGCAAUCAAAACUGUUAUCUUGGACUGGGGCUAUAGCUCAGUGGUAGGUCACUUGCCUCACAAAUGUAAGCCACUGGGUUCGAUCCUUAGCACCACAUAAAAAUAAAUACAUAAAAAAGAUAUUGUGUCCAUUUACAACUUAAAAAAAUUAAAAAAAAAAACUUGUUAUCUUAACCAAGAUUUUGUUUUGGGAGGAAAUAACUUGCGGGCCAGCGGGGAGAUAACCCCUUAAGAGAGAGACAUUAAAGGGGAUUUAUGCUGUCUUCUGGGCAGUUGUCUAAAAUGUGGAUUGAGACAGCUUUGCCAGAUAUCCUACUUUGCCUAUCCUGCCUGAUAAAAAACCCUCACUGAUGAGUCCCAAGUUGUGCAAGGCUUGAGAGCUAUAAAAUAUUAAAGUGUGAUAUCCAUUGCUUUCUUAGGAUUUUUCUUUGUUAGAAAAACAGAUGACUUGCAAUUUUGACCAAACUUGAUUUUUCAUGAAUAACCUGAAUAUGUGUGACUAGAGAUAUGUAUACAGCUCAAACUAAAUAUGUUUGAGCCUUAUCUAAAUGUUAUGUAAAAGUUUAUAAAAUGAAAAUGCAUAUAGGUUUAUACAUUGCAUCUGCCAUAAAAGGGCCACACUGCCAUUUGAGAAACUGGCUUAUCUCUCUCUGCUUUGACUAAGCCUAGUUCUGAUCAUUAACACUGUUCCCUAAAUGUAUAAAAGAUUUAAGGCUCUCCUUGAUUUUUGCUAAUACUGCUAAACUCUGCCAGCCUGUAAUUAUCUGUGGAUUCUGAAUUUUACUAUAAAAAUUAAAUCUAGUUGAUUUAAAGACAUAUGUGUAAUGGUUAUGCUAAAUAUUAGUUCUUUGUAUAUUAAGUAUACUCAUGUUCUUCUGAUAUACAAGUUUUAAAAUAUAAAGCUCAGAAGACACUUUACCAAUCUGGUGUUCUCUAAACUAAAGUUGUCUCUAAUGAUAACUUUAGACUUAUAAAAAUAGCUAAUUUAAUUGGGGAUCUAUGUCAUUUAAUGUUCUAUAACUGGACCUGUUAUCAAUAAGAUGUAUAUAAAAUUUUAUAUUAUGGGGUAGAAAUUUAAAUGUAUUUUUAAAAGAUAACAAGAGCCUGAUCUGUUUAAAGGUGGACAUUGUAAAACAUGAAAACAUUUUGCCACUUUCCCACCAAAAAAGGGUUAAAAGCUCUCUUAGCUUUUCUUUGAUUCAUAUUUCAGAUGUAAUAAUGUAUUGUGUUAUUUGUGAAGAGCCUCAUCUUAUCUGAGAUAAGGCUUUGCCUCCCACCUUACUCCACCUUAGAAUGUCUCCCAAAUAGGCUAGACUUAGCUCCUUUAAAGUUGUGUUCAAAAGAUUGAUUUUUGUUGUAAAGAUUACUGUGAUCUCAAACAGGGGAUAUAGUAUAUAACUAAGUAAAGGUUCAAGAUUAUAAAAGUUAUUUUUCUUGGUUCAUAGCUAUUACACAAACUGAAUGUUUAGGCUCUGUUAAUUUCAUUUUGUAUUUUCCUUGUAAACUUUAUAACUGUUGCCUGUUAGUGUUUUGCAGAGGUACUAUAUCUAAAAGGAGAAAAAAAAAUGUAGGUUAAUUUGAGAGAAUAAGCAAUCACCUACAGAUAAAUAGUGUAUAAUGCUGACUUCCAGUACUAAUACUAACCCCAAUUAAAUGAAAGAGGUAACUAUAAAAUUAUAGAUAUUGAAGUUACAACCUGUUACUCCCUCUUUAAGACUGGUGAAACUGGCUUGCUGGAUGUUUAAAACCAAAAACUUGGAGACCAAGCCAAGAAAGUAAAAGGGCCAAGGAAAAAAGGAGGUAAUAUUUGGCUCUUGCCUUCUAAGGUCAGCCAGCACCCAGAGAAUGACAGGACCCUGUAAGGGCUCUGAAACUCCAGUGAGUCACCUGAUCUGCCAGUCAGGGGGAUCAAGAAGACCCUAAAGAACAGAAUGCCAACAGGUGCACAUUCUGUAAAGAGGAGGGUCAUCGGAGAGGGAAAUGCCUGAUGCUUCCAAGAGAAGCCACAUGUGGUCAUCAAGACCCUGACCUGACCCAUCCUGGCACAUGACACCACUAGUAGCAGAAAGCUCAAGGAGCCAGCAGGCUUCACACAUGUCCCCAAGAGUGGUCUCUGAAGAAUUGCAGUUGAUUCUUAAGAAUAGAUAAAAACAAGGUCAGUUUUGACCAACCUGGUCUUAAACACCUGGCAGGAGAGUACAGCCUGAGCACAGUCCUACAUGGACAUUUAAAAGGAAAAACAAUGUUUUGUUUGUUUGUUCUGCUUUUUUUUUAAUGUAACUUAAGAUGUACACUUAUGUCAGCCUUAUCAAAAUAAGUUAAGCUGCAGGCUAUACGGAAGGGUUCUGUGGGAAGGCUUAAUAUUUAGCCCCACGAAGGACACUGGAGACACAAGUUUGUCCUGCAUUUCAGUAACUGGCUAGAAACUAAUUGUUUUUGUAUUAAUUGUUUACCAAAAAAGAAAAAAAGUAAUGCUUUGUGUCUUGUUUCUUGUUGUCCCAGCAUAAACUUAACCCUAUGUACGCCUUGUCCAGUCACCUGCUACCUGCCACCUUGGAACUCUGGACUGCUAUUAUGCUGAAUGCCCUUAACUGUCACUCCCCCGCCUGACAGAAAAUAAGGACUUGGGGUCACUUCCCCCGAAUUUCGCCCUCUCUCAGCAUGAAGUGGCUUGGAGACGACGUCGCCCACUUUUCCUUAGAAAUGGAAGGUGGAAAUUGACAGUAGGGAAAUGUAACAGGGGUCCCUUCACCUUCCGAAUAUGGCCCUCGUUGCUCUAAGGCUUUUUUUUUUUUUUUAAAGAACAUGUUUUAGGUGGCUGUGGUUGUGGCUCAGUGGUAGAGUGCUUGCGUAGUGUGAGUGAUGCAUUGAGUUCAUUCCUCAGCACUCCAUUAAAAAAAAUAAAUAAAGGUAUUGCAUCCAUCUACAACUAAAAUACUAAAAAAAAGAAGAGGAAGAACAUUUAUUUUGUCUCUCCUCCUCUCUUCCUUCCCUAACAAGAUUAGGGAGACAGUGUUCUCUUUUCCUCUUUUCUUCCCCUAGUUAAUUGCCCUUGAACACACCCACUAUGGGAAGGAGAUGCCUGCUGAGGAUCUGGGAAGUGAGUACCUCCCAAAUUAACAAGUGAAUCCUAACACACCUGGGACACCACCUCCCCACCCCCCCACCCCCAG